AUACUUCGGCAGCACAUAUACUGCAAUUGGAACGAUACAGAGAAGAUUAGCAUGGCCCUGCAAACCAGGGUGGACCCUGCUUAGCAAAGGGGACAAUUCAUGCUU